rnacentral:misc_RNA from 1 species
GAUGAAGAACGCAGUGAAAUGCGAUAAGUAAUGCGAAUUGCAGAAUUCCAGUGAGUCAUCGAAUCUUUGAACGCACAUUGCGCCCCUUGGUAUUCCAUGGGGCAUGCCUGUUCGAGCGUCAUUUGUACCUUCAAGCUCUGCUUGGUGUUGGGUGUUUGUCUCGCCUCUGCGUGUAGACUCGCCUCAAAACAAUUGGCAGCCGGCGUAUUGAUUUCGGAGCGCAGUACAUCUCGCGCUUUGCACUCAUAACGACGACGUCCAAAAGUACAUUUUUACACUCUUGACCUCGGAUCAGGUAGGGAUACCCGCUGAACUUAAGCAUAUCAAUAAGCGGAGGA